UCUUUAGUGCAGACCUCCUCCCCCUCUGAAGCCUCGCCUUCUCUCUGAGGCAGAUCACAGAGGUCCUGGGCAGCCUUCAGGUGAUUCUAUCUGAGUGCAGCUAGGCCUGGUGUGUCCUGGGAACAGCACAAAGUAUGAGACAUUUGUUUUGUGACUUACGAGUGAGGGCCGUUAGAGCGUCUAAGGAAGACAACUCUGCCAUUCUUCGCACUGGUAUCAGUCUGACCUGAGCCUGUCCCAGCAGCACCCGGGUCCUCUGCAUUUCAGGACUGUGAUGAGCUCCAUGAUCUGCACAAGUUAGAUGGAAGAUGCAUAAGGAGGAGAGACCUGGAUGAUUCGAGCUUUGUCUGGGCAGUUGGAGGAGCAAAGUCCAUCCACAUUAUGAGAUGAGGGAGACUGUGGAAGGGGGUUUGUGGGAAAUAUCAGGAGCUCAGAUUUGGAAGUGUGUAAGUGCUAACAGACAAAAGUGACUUUAAAACUGCUCAUCAGAGGGCUGAAGUAUCUGAUAAGCAAAGACCACACAUGCAAAUGUAGAAACAGACCUCUUUAUAAAUGAUGUCUGACAAGGAAAAGGAUAGCUGCGGCAUAGGAGCUCUGGAAAAUCUGAGACUUCUUUCAAAUGAUCUUUGCACUUUUGGACAUGGAGAUGGUCACAAAACACUGGGGGAAACAUCAAAGGGGUGUCACAGACAUGGAACGGAGCAAACCAGAAAGAGGAUGGUGUACACUCAACAAGCCCCAAAGAGAACAGGGAAGAGCAUCAGAUUAAGGAGUCACACAAGUCAAAGGACUGAAUCUGCAACAUAAGUAAAAGUAAAAUAGCUGAAUACAUGGAAGGAAAACAUUUUCCAUUCUAAGAAACAGACCUCCCUAAAAUGUUGCAUCACAGCCUUUAACUGCCCAUGACAACCGUGAAAUCAGAAAAAGAGGGAAGAAGAAACUAGAACAAAGUGCAUUUCAAAUAACAAUAAUGGACUUAAGGAGCCACAGAAAGGCACAUGGAUCAACAGGACAGCUUUGAAGGAGACCUGGACCAAGAGGGCUGGCAGGCAGAAAGACGGCCCAGAAGAACCCUGCUUUGGUGUCCCACACCGUCUUCCAGGAGAACGAUCUAAAACUCUGGGUCCCACGUGAUGCCUCUUUCCUCUGUCCCAUUUUCC